rnacentral:rRNA from 1 species
CGGACGGGUGAGUAACACGUGAGCAACCUGCCUUUUUGAGGGGGAUAACAACCGGAAACGGUUGCUAAUACCGCAUAAAGUAUAACUGUGGCAUCACAGAUAUACCAAAGGAGUAAUCCGCAAAAAGAUGGGCUCGCGACUGAUUAGCUAGUUGGAGUGGUAAUGGCACACCAAGGCAACGAUCAGUAGCCGGACUGAGAGGUUGAACGGCCACAUUGGGACUGAGACACGGCCCAGACUCCUACGGGAGGCAGCAGUGGGGAAUAUUGCACAAUGGAGGAAACUCUGAUGCAGCGACGCCGCGUGAGGGAAGAAGGUUUUCGGAUUGUAAACCUCUGUCUUUGGGGACGAUAAUGACGGUACCCAAAGAGGAAGCCACGGCUAACUACGUGCCAGCAGCCGCGGUAAUACGUAGGUGGCAAGCGUUGUCCGGAAUUACUGGGUGUAAAGGGAGCGUAGGCGGGAAAGUAAGUUAAAUGUGAAAUUUAUCAGCUCAACUGAUAAGCUGCGUUUAAAACUACUUUUCUUGAGUGAAGUAGAGGUAGGCGGAAUUCCUAGUGUAGCGGUGAAAUGCGUAGAUAUUAGGAGGAACACCAGUGGCGAAGGCGGCCUACUGGGCUUUAACUGACGCUGAGGCUCGAAAGCGUGGGUAGCAAACAGGAUUAGAUACCCUGGUAGUCCACGCUGUAAACGAUGAUUACUAGGUGUGGGGGGGGCUGACCCCUUCCGUGCCGGAGUUAACACAAUAAGUAAUCCACCUGGGGAGUACGACCGCAAGGUUGAAACUCAAAGGAAUUGACGGGGGCCCGCACAAGCAGUGGAGUAUGUGGUUUAAUUCGAAG